rnacentral:lncRNA from 1 species
UAGAGUCUAUAUAGCCUAUAUUUCAGAAGUUGCACUUUCAUAACCACUUGGACACUCAAUUGGGAGCUUUGGAGCUAGGGCGAUUUUUUUGGCGUAUCAGAGACUUGAAAGCAACGUUUAUUCACUCAAAGAGGGGCGCAAUACUCAAUCAGAGUCAUACAAGAGGUAAUAAGCACUUUAAACCGUUAAUUUUUUCAAUUUUCAUGGUUUUAUGAUCGCAAUCGCGUUUGGCUCAUACAAUCUGAACCCAUUUCGGAUCCCACAUGCCAAACUGGACAGCUUUUUAAAAUUUUGAAAUUUAUUGUGAUAGGUAGGGUUUGUGAUGGCCGAACCUCCGUUUGAAAUGAAAC